rnacentral:rRNA from 1 species
AAAAACAUCACCUCCAGCAUCCCUAGUAUUGGAGGCACUGCCUGCCCAGUGACAACUGUUUAACGGCCGCGGUAUCCUGACCGUGCAAAGGUAGCAUAAUCAUUUGUUCUCUAAAUAAGGACUUGUAUGAAUGGCCACACGAGGGUUUUACUGUCUCUUACUUCCAAUCAGUGAAAUUGACCUUCCCGUGAAGAGGCGGGAAUGCAUAAAUAAGACGAGAAGACCCUAUGGAGCUUUAACUAACCAACCCAAAGAAAAUAAAUUUAACCAUUGAGGAACAACAACAAUCUCCAUGAGUUGGUAGUUUCGGUUGGGGUGACCUCGGAGAAUAAAAAAUCCUCCGAACGAUUUUAAAGACUAGACCCACAAGUCAAAUCACUCUAUCGCUCAUUGAUCCAAAAAUUUGAUCAACGGAACAAGUUACCCUAGGGAUAACAGCGCAAUCCUAUUUAAGAGUCCAUAUCGACAAUAGGGUUUACGACCUCGAUGUUGGAUCAGGACAUCCUGAUGGUGCAACCGCUAUCAAAGGUUCGUUUGUUCAACGAUUAAAGUCCUACAUGAUCU